GUGCCAGCCGCCGCGGUAAUACGAAGGGGGCUAGCGUUGCUCGGAAUCACUGGGCGUAAAGCGCACGUAGGCGGAUUUCUAAGUCAGGGGUGAAAUCCCGGAGCUCAACUCCGGAACUGCCCUUGAUACUGGGAAUCUCGAGUUCGGGAGAGGUGAGUGGAACUGCGAGUGUAGAGGUGAAAUUCGUAGAUAUUCGCAAGAACACCAGUGGCGAAGGCGGCUCACUGGCCCGAUACUGACGCUGAGGUGCGAAAGCGUGGGGAGCAAACAGGAUUAGAAACCCGCGUAGUCC
rnacentral:rRNA from 1 species